CACAGGUGGGCAGGGUCAGAUUGUCUCCCUGUGAGCUGAACAGAGGCCCUUUAGUUUAACAUUCAGGCAGCGGGGCAGGGUUCCCUGAGGCAGGCCAUUAUGUAUGAUUAUAAUAACAAAAGCACCGGGAAGCAAAGGUUAACGUCAAAGAAACAGAUGCAACAUGGAGUCCUAUUUUGCUCUUCCCUGUUACAGCCUGAGGUGGGAGAAACCACGGCAUGGUACACUGACACGAUCGUGAUCAAAGAGAGUGAAAAUCACUGAAGCAGGAGAGACCGUGGGGAAUUUCUGGAGCUACAUCCUGAGUGGGUGCCAUGGACGGGUUAGUGGCCUGUGAAGGGCAGGCUCUGGGGUGAGCAGACCGGGUCACUCAAGACAUCAUGCUUUCUCGGCGACAGACAGAUUUCAAAUAUAAACAGCGUGACACUAUCAGAAA